AGCUAAUGGCGAAUGCCUUGGCAGUUUAAGCCGAAGAAGGACGGGUACUGACGCCCGAAAACAACGAUGAGCCCGUAAGCAGGCGUUAUCAAUCGUUGGUUUCCGAAUGGGGCAACCCAACCCUGCGUAAGCAGAGUAAACCUAAGCUACGCAAGUAGCGUGGGUAGGUAACCUGGUGAACUGAAACAUCUCAGUAACCAGAGGAAAAAAAAACAAUAGUGAUUGCGUUAGUAGCGGCGAGCGAAAACGUAACAGCCUAAACCUGGUCGUAAGACUAGGUGUUGCGGGGCAAAUAAUAUGGAAUCCUAUCUCGGGUAAAAGAACGUUCUGGAAAGGACGGCCACAGAAAGUGAUAGCCUUGUAUUUAAAAUCCGAGAUGGUCCUAUUUUGUUCCCAAGUACCACGAGGCACGGCAAACCUUGUGGGAAGCCGGGUCGGUCACGACCCAAGGCUAAAUACUUAAACUGACCGAUAGUGAACUAGUACCGUGAGGGAAAGGUGAAAAGCACCCCGUUAAGGGGAGUGAAAUAGAAACUGAAACCAUUAGCUAACAAGCAGGUAAAGCUUGUGCUUUGCACAAGCAAGUUGAAAAGUUUGUAAAGUUUUUAAAGUUUAUAAAGAAAAUCUCUUUAUGAACUUUUUACUUUAUGAACUUUAUGAACUUGCUCGCGCAGAGCGCGAGUGAUACCGUGCCUAUUGAAGAAUGAGUCAGCGAGUAUACGUUUUAGUGUUAUGUUUAAUCCCGAUUAAAUUGGGAGGAGACAAAGCGAAAGCGAGUCCUAAUAGGGCGAAUUUAUACUUAACGUAUGACCCGAAACUGGGUGAGCUAACCAUGGGCAGGAUGAACCCCGAUGAAAAUCGGGAGGAGGUCCGAACCCGUUGUCGGUGAAAUGACAUGGGAAGACUUGUGGUUAGGGGUAAUAUGCCUAUCGAACCCAGAGAUAGCUGGUUCUCCUCGAGAUAUAUUUAGGUAUAGCCUCGUUCUUAAUUUUUCGCGGGGUAGAGCGACUAGAUGGUCCAGCAAGCGUAAGCGAGCGGGAUCAACUAAACUCCGAAUACGCGAAAAAAGUAAACGGGAGUCAGUCGAGCCGGGAUAAGCUGGUUUCGGCGAGAGGGAAACAUCCCAGACUCUCAUCUAAGGUUCCUAAAUAACUUUUAAGUGAAAAGGUCGUUGCGUUUCCAAUACAGAUGGGAGGUUGGCUCAGAAGCAGCCAUCCUUUAAAGAGUGCGUAACAGCUCACCAUAAUAUGUCCGACAUUACGUCGGACAGGAAACCAGGCGCCCAAAAUGAUCGGAGCUAAAAAGUUUACCGAAGAUGGAGAUGCUAUCGCAAGAUAGCGUGGUAGAGGAGCUUUCCAAAAGCAGCGAAGUAUUACCGUAAGGUAAGAUGGAGCUUUUGGAAGUGAGAAUGCUGACAUAAGUAGUGAAUCUCCCGAUAAAAACUCGGGAUGCCGCAUGUCUAAGGUUUCCCCGGCAAUGUCAAUCAUCCGGGGGUCAGUCGAAUCUAACCCUGUGCCCAUCGUGGUACAGGGGAUGUACAAAUCGUUAAUAUUCGAUUACUUAUUUUUUGGCGUUAUUACUUGAUUUAUGACGAAGUUUGAUAUUUCUACCCUUCUAUAUGGGGGGUUAAGUAAUAAAUUCCGACGCAAGUCGGGGCGAGUUACAAAUACAAUUCUGUCGCAAGACGGGAGAGUAGGAUGACUUAAGCUUCCGGGAAAAAUAAAUCAAGGAGUCAAAAAAUAAUUCGUACCGCAAACCGACACAGGUGGACUGGUGGAGAACACCAAGGCAAACGGGUAAUGGUUGUUCAAGGAAUUCGGCAAAAAAGCUGAGCGUAAGUUAUACAAGAUGCUCUGGCCGAUGUUACAUCGGCCUUCAACAAAAGAUGUCAACCGACUGUUUAGCAAAAACACAGGUUCCUGCAAACCCCAAUAGGGGAUAUAUAGGAGCUGAGACCUGUCCAGUACUGGUAAGUCAACCGCUUUGGGUGAUCCAAUUCAUUUGGUUAGCUCGAGGUGUAAGCUCCAGUGAACGACAGCUCUAACCCUGAGAGUUCUAAGGUAGCGUAGCCCCUUGCCGGGUAAGUUCCGGCCC
rnacentral:rRNA from 1 species